UACAGAGACUGCAAGCGUUAUUCGGAUUCACUGGGCGUAAAGGGUGCGCAGGCGGCCAUGUGUGUGAGGCGUGAAAGCCCGGGGCUCAACCCCGGAAUUGCACCUCAAACUACAUGGCUAGAGCAUUGGAGAGGGUAGCGGAAUUCACGGUGUAGCAGUGAAAUGCGUAGAGAUCGGGAAGAACAUCGGUGGCGAAAGCGCUCUACUGGACGGUAUCUGACACUGAGGGACGAAAGCUAGGGGAGCGAAUGGG
rnacentral:rRNA from 1 species